rnacentral:rRNA from 1 species
GAGAUAGCUGGUUCUCCCCGAAAUAGCUUUAGGGCUAGCGUCGGAAAGAACCUUAGUGAAGGUAGAGCACUGAAUGUGUGAUGGCCCCAUCCCGGGGUACUGAAUACAAUCAAACUGCGAAUGUCAUUAAGGAUGUCCGGCAGUCAGACUGUGAGUGAUAAGGUCCAUGGUCAAGAGGGAAACAGCCCAGACCGCCAGUUAAGGUCCCAAAAUACAGGCUAAGUGGAAAAGGAUGUGGGGAUGCCCAGACAACUAGGAGGUUGGCUCAGAAGCAGCCAUCCUUUAAAGAGUGCGUAACAGCUCACUAGUCGAGUGACCCUGCGCCGAAAAUGUACCGGGGCUAAGCCUGAUACCGAAACUGCGGAUUGUAGGAAACUAUAGUGGUAGGGGAGCGUUGUAUACGAGUAGAAGCCGUACCGUGAGGAGCGGUGGAUUGUAUAGAAGUGAGAAUGCCGGUGUGAGUAGCGAGAUGUAGGUGAGAAUCCUACACACCGAAAGCCCAAGGAUUCCAGGGGAAGGUUCGUCCGCCCUGGGUAAGUCGGGACCUAACGCGAGGCCGAAAGGCGUAGUGGAUGGAAAGCAGGCGAAAGAUUCCUGCACCCGUAUAUGGAGCGAAGGAGUGACGGAGACGGAUAGUGUGACCCUCUUAAUGGAUUGAGGGCGAAGCGAAGCGGCUGGUUACCAGGCAAAUCCGGUAACUGAAAGGCUAGAGCGUGACAGGUAAGCGAAAUCUAAGGAAAGUAGCGAAGCACAUGAUGACGGCUUCCAGGAAAAGCUUCUGGCAAUGCAUAUGCGGCCCGUACCAAAACCGACACAGGUGGGCAGGGAGAGAAUCCCGAGGUGAGCGAGAGAACUGUUGCCAAGGAACUCGGCAAAAUGACUCCGUAAGUUAGCGAGAAGGAGUGCUUAAGCAAUUAAGCCGCAGUGAAGAGGCCCAAGCGACUGUUUAACUAAAACACAGCUCUCUGCGAAGUCGCAAGACGAAGUAUAGGGGGUGACACCUGCCCGGUGCUGGAAGGUUAAGAGGAUCUGUUAAGAGCGAUCUGAAGCAGUGAUCCGAAGCCCCAGUGAACGGCGGCCGUAACUAUAACGGUCCUAAGGUAGCGAAAUUCCUUGUCAGGUAAGUUCUGACCCGCACGAAAGGUGUAACGAUUUGGGCGCUGUCUCGGCAGCAGACUCGGUGAAAUCUUAGUACCUGUGAAAAUGCAGGUUACCCGCAACUAGACGGAAAGACCCCAUGGAGCUUUACUGCAGCCUGAUAUUGAAUUCUGGUCAUACAUGUACAGGAUAGGUGGGAGACAAAGAGACGUGCACGCCAGUGUACGAGGAGUCGCCGUUGGGAUACCACUCUUGUGUGACCGGGGUUCUAACCUGGUAUCGAGAACAGGUACGGGGAGAGUGUCAGGUGGGCAGUUUGACUGGGGCGGUCGCCUCCCAAAGAGUAACGGAGGCGCCCAAAGGUACGCUCAGAUUGGAUGGAAACCAAUCGGCGAGUGCAAUUGCAGAAGCGUGCUUGACUGUGAGACUUACAAGUCGAACAGGGACGAAAGUCGGGAAUAGUGAUCCGGCGGUGCCGAAUGGAAGGGCCGUCGCUCAACGGAUAAAAGCUACCCUGGGGAUAACAGGCUGAUCUCGCCCAAGAGUUCACAUCGACGGCGAGGUUUGGCACCUCGAUGUCGGCUCAUCGCAUCCUGGAGCUGGAUUCGGUUCCAAGGGUUGGGCUGUCCGCCCAUUAAAGCGGUACGCGAGCUGGGUUCAGAACGUCGUGAGACAGUUCGGUCCCUAUCUGUUGUGGGCGAAGGAGAUCUGCGGAGAGCUGUCCUCAGUACGAGAGGACCGGGAUGGACCUACCGCUGGUGCACCGGUUGUUCCGCCAGGGGCAUAGCCGGGUAGCUAAGUAGGGAAAGGAUAAGCGCUGAAAGCAUCUAAGCACGAAGCCUACUCCAAGAUGAGAUCUCCCAUUCGCAAGAAGUAAGACCCCUUAAAGACGAUAAGGUAGAUAGGCCAGGGAUGGAAGUGCAGUGAUGUACGGAGUUGACUGGUACUAAUCGGUCGAGGACUUAAUCAG